GUUAAGUGAUGAUAGCCUAGGAGAUACACCUGUUCCCAUGCCGAACACAGCAGUUAAGCCCUAGAACGCCUGAAGUAGUUGGGGGUUGCCCCCUGUUAGAUAUGGUAGUCGCUUAGC
rnacentral:rRNA from 1 species